rfam:Sorghum bicolor cultivar BTx623 chromosome 7, whole genome shotgun sequence.
GUAGUCGGAUCCGUAUUAAUCCACAUGUGUUGGGGUGGAUUGAAGUAGAACUUAAACUAAAUUCUACCCCAAUCCACUCCAACACAUGUGGAUUGAGGUAAAUCCAACA